rnacentral:tRNA from 1 species
GCCGGUGUAGCUCAGUUGGUAGAGCAGGGUCUUUGUAAGACUCAGGUCGGGGGUUCGAUUCCUCUCGCCGGCA